UUUUCUGAGUCCUCGGCCUUCCCCGUGACUCUUUAGGUCUUAAUAGUAACAGAAUGUAACCCAGCAACACCUAUCACUUCCCUGUCCAUUCAUUCUCCAUAACUUUUCUGCUUCCCCUCUGCCCCCAACCCCCACCCCAGCUCCGUGUUGUGGUCUCCAGUUUCCUACGGCAGAGUGGUCGGCAUGUGAGCCACCUGGACUUCAUUCAUCUGACAGCGCUGGGUUAUACGCUCUGUGGACUGCGGCCAGAGGAGCUCCAGCACAUCAGCAGCUGGGAGUUUAGCCAAGCAGCUCUCUUCCUGGGCAGCCUGCAUCUCCAGUGCUCUGAAGAACAACUGGAGGUUCUGGCCCACCUCCUUGUACUGCCUGGUGGCUUUGGCCCAAUCAGUAACUGGGGGCCUGAGAUCUUCACUGAAAUUGGCACCAUAGCAGCUGGGAUCCCAGACCUGGCUCUUUCAGCACUGCUGCAGGGACAGAUCCAGGGCCUUACUCCUCUUGCCAUUUCUGUCAUCCCUCCUCCUAAAUUUGCUGUGGUGUUUAGUCCCACCCAACUAUCUAGUCUCACCAGUGCUCAGGCUGUGGCUGUCACUCCUGAGCAAAUGGCCUUUCUGAGUCCUGAGCAGCGACGAGCAGUUGCAUGGGCCCAGCAUGAGGGGAAGGAGAGCCCGGAACAGCAAGGUCGAAGUACAGCCUGGGGCCUCCAGGACUGGUCACGACCUUCCUGGUCCCUGGUAUUGACUAUCAGCUUCCUUGGCCACCUGCUCUGAGCCUGUCUCUACAGUAGAAGGAGAUUGUGGGGAGAGAAAUCUUAAGUCAUAAUGAAUAAAGUGCAAACAGAAGUGCAUCCUG